rnacentral:rRNA from 1 species
GACAGAGGGGGCAAACGUUGCUCGGAAUCACUGGGCGUAAAGGGCGCGUAGGCGGGAUGGCAAGUCAGUCGUGAAAUCUCUCGGCUCAACCGAGAAACGUCGGCUGAUACUGCCGUUCUUGAGGGAUGCAGAGGAGACUGGAAUUCCCGGUGUAGCGGUGAAAUGCGUAGAUAUCGGGAGGAACAUCUGUGGCGAAGGCGACACCCUGGACCAGCACUGACACUGAGGCACGAAAGCGUGGGGAGCAAACAGG